UACGGGGGGGGGCAAGCGUUGUUCGGAAUUACUGGGCGUAAAGGGCUCGUAGGCGGCCCUCUCAGUCGGAUGUGAAAUCCCCAGGCUUAACCUGGGAAUGGCAUCCGAUACUGGAGGGCUUGAAUUCGGGAGAGGGAUGCAGAAUUCCAGGUGUAGCGGUGAAAUGCGUAGAUAUCUGGAGGAAUACCGGUGGCGAAGGCGGCAUCCUGGACCGAGAUUGACGCUGAGGAGCGAAAGCUAGGGGAGCAAACGGG
rnacentral:rRNA from 1 species